rnacentral:pre_miRNA from 1 species
ACAACAUACGGGCCGUCGGUCUUACCUAGCAAUCACACCCGCUCGGCGGACGAUCUUCCCUUCAUCGU